UACGUAGGGGCAAGCGUUAUCCGGAUUUACUGGGUGUAAAGGGAGCGCAGACGGAACUGCAAGUCUGAUGUGAAAGCCCGGGGCUCAACCGCGGGACUGCAUCGGAUACUGUAGAUCUGGAGUGCCGGAGGGGCAAGCGGAAUUCCUGGUGUAGCGGUGAAAUGCGUAGAUAUCAGGAGGAACACCGGCGGCGAAGGCGGCUUGCUGGACGGCAACUGACGUUGAGGCUCGAAAGCGUGGGGAUCAAACAGGAUUAGAUACCCU
rnacentral:rRNA from 1 species